rnacentral:rRNA from 2 species
GAGUGUUAUUCAUCUUUAAUCGGUUUAAAGGGUACCUAGACGGAAAAUCAAGCUUAAUUAAACUAAGGACUAGUUUUCUAGAGUUUGACAUGAGAAGGUACGAACUAUCAGAGGAGAGAUAAAAUUUGUUGAUACUGGUGGGACGGACAACGGCGAAGGCAAUCUUCUACUAAAAACUGACGUUGAGGGACGAAGCCUUGGGGAGCGAGAAGGAUUAGAUACCCUAGUAGUCCUUGGAGAAAAUUAUGAGUGCCAUAGACUAAAGUGAAAAAGAAGUUCUUUUAAAAGAACUUUGUAUCUGAGCCUUAAUUGGAUACAAAGGUCUCGAGUAGCAGUUUAUAAAUGAAAGUGUAAGCAUUCCACCUCAUGACUAAAGCGGCAACGCCCAAAUUGAAAUCAUUAGACCGUUUCUGAAACCAGUAGUGAAGUAUGUUAUUUAAUUCGAUAACCCGCGAAUAACCUUACCACGUUUUGAAUUUAUUAAACAAGUGUUGCACGGCUGUCUUCAGUUAAUGUCGUGAGAUUUUGGUUUGUUCCAUUAAUUAACGAAAACCCUUGUUUCAUUUUUAUAUGAAAUAGUUCACCGUUAUAUUGGAAAGAUAAAAGGGAUCAAGACAAGUCAUCAUGGCCUUAAUAAC